UUUUUCUUUUUUUUUUUGGUGUUUUUUUUUUUGCCAACCACACCUCAGACAAACUUGUAGAUGAGCCAACCCAAACCAUAUAAUUUAAAACUGCAUUCUGUUGAGACCAAGCAGCAUAAAGGGAUGGAGUUCUUCUGGACAUUUAGAAACACUUGAAUUCUUUGACUUAUCCUCUGUCCUCUGCGGUUUUCAACCAGUUUGAUGCCUUGAGCUGUGUUACCCACUUUUCUCAGAAAGGCCAGGAGAGAAGGAGGGUGUUCAGGAGUAUGCGCUAUCAGCAGGGCUAGCUUGUGGGGCAGCCAGGCCUGAGCUGCCGUGCUUAUAUUCCAGGAGCGUGGCUUUCCCAGUAAAGAUAGAGCCUUCCAUCUCUUCCAGUUCUGAGCCAACCCACAAUCCUUAUAUUUUCAUUUAGUCAAACUGGUAUUAAAAAAACUGAUUUUUUUUUUAAAUUUUGGCCUUACGCAGUUCUGGUUCUUUGUCAUUAAUCAGAUCAAGUCAGCUUUUUGCAGGAACUGUGACAGUAGCGUCAUCACUCUGAUCUCUGUCAAAUCCCCCCCCCAAAAUCCCUUCAGCUGCUUUGGUAAGCUUACACUUUUUCUGUAGAGCCCCUUGAUGUGUAAAAUGUAUGCAAUGUUUUGAUCAAAGGAGUUCUUGUACUUAAUGCAAAUUUCAACACCCUUACAGCAGUCAGAUGUGAAUGUAUAGAUCUAAUCCUCCUGAUCUCCACAGAGUGACACUGGGCCCAGGGGACAUCAGUCCAGCUAGCGAGGAGGGCAGGGAUGGUUGGUGGAAGGAGUUCUGACGAGACAAUGUGACCAGUCAACUUGGAAUCUGCCCCAGAAUCAUGGAGACUUUGAUAUGGCUUUGGUCUGAUUUUAGGAGUGGGAUACAGGACAGGAUUCUGCAGAGAAGAGAUACAGCUCUUGGACAAAGUUUUUGAAGAGAACCUCUGCAAUGGAUAAAAUAUGGAGCUAAUUAUCACAGCACGUAUGUUUAGAAGACAGUGAUGGACUGGAAAAUACUUUCUUUGCAGGGUUGUCAAACUCGUGGAUAUCCUCUUCUUUAUGCCUUCAGUACGCUGGCUGACAUUCACGGGCAUGUAUGCAUUUGCAGUAUAAAAGGAGAGAGAUUUUCUAUAUUGUCUUCUUUUUCCUGUUACACACACAAUUCUGUCUGCUAGUUUUCUCAGUACAGGCACGACGACUUUGUGUCUUUUGGAGGUGUUCUGUGAAGUGCCUUUGUAUCUGACUACCUCAAUACCACACUUGAGUUUCUUUACUUUGUAGGAAGAAUGUUACACACAAAAAUCAAGUUGUUGUUUUCCCAAUCCUCUUAUCUGUAUCUUGGAAGAAACCUCCUACAGUUUCAGUGAAGGACUGGAGUUGUGUGUAACGGGGAAGCAAAGAUUUCUGUACCAUUUUGGUUUGAUGUUGCUAGAUCAGCUCCUGUAUCGGACUUAUUUUUUUUAAACUGUUUAUGUUAAGGUAGUUACAGUCUGAGCUGCUUUGUUUAUUUACCAAGCAUGUGCAACAGGUGUCAAGAUUUUUCAGUCUCCUGAUAGUUAGCUCGAUGCUGUCUUUCACUAUGAUUUAAAUCAGAUAAUGCAACCAAACUGUAAUAAAAAUAAGUAAUAACUAUGUAAUAAAAAAGACCAUUAAGACAUUUGAGAUAUUUCAUACUUAAAAAGCAAAUUCUUUGUAGGAGUAUGUAUUGGUCCCCUUUGCUGUAAGGAGAGGAGCCCUGCAAUUUGCCUGAAACCAGAAACUCACAGAUGUUGAUGUCAGGAAUAGAAAUAAAGCCCAUCCCUUCUAACCAGGUGCCAAGGAAAAUCUUAGUAUCUGCAGAGAAUGCUGUUUUCCUUAAGUUCACAUUGAAAUCAUAUGUAAAUAUCCUGGGAAACAUAUUUUGGGAAUAUUUAUGUAUUUUGUCAUUAUUAUGAUUUAGUAAGGAAAAAAAGCUGCUUGAGCAUAUCAAGGUAUGCCAGUGACUAGCUCAGGAACUCGGAAGCAGCUGCAGAGCCACCAGCUGAGACGCCUGGGUAGGCAAACAAAGAGGCAUGUGCUGUUUGCAGUGUUUCUUCCUGAUAUUAGCAUCUGGGCUACUUGGCACAUAUACCUCUCCCACCCUUCCUACAGCGAGAGACCACUUGUAGGCUUUAGUUUUAUAUGGUUACCCGUAUACUUGAAAGGGUGUCUGUCAGUCUCUGUUAAUCUUUAUAAUGUUUCAGAAAUGAGAGUUCGAGAAUAAUUAGAAGCUUUCUAAUACACUGAAAAGCAACUGUCUUUGUUAAGGACCAGAUUAUACCAACUGCCGCAAUAUAAUAUGGUUUGUGCACAAAUAUAAUAUGCAUGUUGCAAUAACGUUCUUACAUGCAUGUACACAUGAUUUUAGCGUGCUACCGGGAGGGGAAAAAAAUGCAUAUGGAAAAUGUAAAGAGUGUAUGUAGCUAGUACGGAAAGUGGGCUUUGCCUGUAGUAUUAUUAGCUGUAAAUUAAAACAACAGCACAUUUUAGGGAAGUUUUGAAUUUAGCAUGUUUUAAGAUGGCUAACUAACUAGAUUUCUAAAGAAUUCCAGAAUUCAUAGGUGAAGAGAAUCAACUUACUGAAAAUCCCCUCAGAGUACCCAGCUUCCAGUUCCAUUUUCAGUUUGCUAAGCCAUGCCCUGUUUUACUUGGAGGUUUAUUAAAUUAAUGCUGAAGUUUUUGUUUUGUUGAAGACAAAUUGUAGCUAACUGUAAUACAGUACGACAUGCUAGUGUCUUUUAAGUACCACUGAAUCAUGGUAUAAAUUAGUACUCUUCUUUUACAAAACUUUAUCUUUUAAUAAAAGUAGUUAUUAGUUUUACAGUUGUUGCUAUUUUGAUCUCAAAUGCAUGUGUUCAGUCUUACAGUUAGAUUUUCUUUGUGAGUUGAAAAGUUUCAAAACAAUUAUUUAACUUCUUCUAAAUAUACUCUGUUACAAAAAAAAGCUAACUUCCAAUGUUUUGUGCACAGAAUUACUAUCUUACGAGGCUUCCUUUAAUACGGUACCUGAGAGGUUUAACCACUGAACUGUUUGAAAGCAGAGUCACUGUGCAUGUGGAAAAGCUAGAAAUGUUUAGAUAAAAUAUUACAUGAAGUUUGGCAAUAGAGCUUCUGGAAUUUCAAGUUUAUCUGUAAUUUCCCUGCAGAGAUGAAAACACCCUUUCUCUAGGGCUGGUGAAGAGUUGGAGCAGUUUUAUUUACAUCUAGCGGAAAUUAUGAGAAAGGUCACAGCCCUAGUUUUUCUGUGGAUAGAUCCAGUCCCUGCACCGCUUCAGUCAGUCUCUGCCUGAGAAAUACGCCAUGGGAAACAAAAAUUAAAAAGACAAAUUCAAUAGCAAUAGUAGUGUUAUUUUUAAGGUACUGUGCUGAACAAUGUCCCCUCAGUAAAAAUAAUACAAAUACUAGACUACUGAGCACAAUAAAUGAGGACUGUUUUAGAGUCCAUUAGGCUUCCAUUGUCUGUCUUACACUGCAGCUGUAGUGUCAAGUGUUAAAAUUACUGCAAAGUCACCUGUGGCAUAUUUGACAUCCUUCAAUACAGGCUCGGUGGUGUUUAUUUUUAGGUACAUAGAUGAACAAUCCUUCAUUAUUUUGCCUUUUGCUCUAAAUUAAAGUAUUUGUCUUGAAUUUCAAGAGACAUACUUGAUACAUUCAUUCAUGAGCUAAAAUAAACCCAAGUGAGCCCACAGAGGAAGAGAUUACUAUAGGAGAAUGGCUUUUACUACUGUUAAACCAGCCAAAUAUUUGCAGUUUUGCAAUGAUUCAUCCUUUUUCCUCUCUUGUUCAGCAGUAUUUUGGAAGAGCAGACUAAGGAAGGAGCUAGUGAUACUCCUAGUCCAAAAGAAGAUCAAGUCCUUUUUUGGUGAUUGAUUUUAUCUGAACUAAAUCCUUCAUUGCCAUAAUGUGGCCACAGAAGUGAGCAGAAGUGCCCCUAUUCAUCCCAACUGAGGACUAAGCCUUUUAUCUUAUGCUUUUAUUCAUAUUUAUUAUUUAUUUUAAAAUAAAUGCUGCUAUUUAACAUUCAUUAUUAUUUCUGUGAAAGGAAAUACUCGGGCCUGGGGAACCUAUCCUGAGAAAAGUACAGCAGCACAUAGAUUGGGACCAUCCUGCAAAGAGUGAGGCUGGGAGUGAAAGCAAGCUUGUGAGUCAUCGGCGUGGAGCCCUGCUAUCACCAGCCACCCUCUGGCACAAGCCUGAUCCUCGACUGGUUAAAUUCAACCACAAAACAGUUAACUUUCCAGUCCUACUCAAGGGUCACCUCUGCUGUGGCACGUAAGAAAUGGCUGGAAGAACAAUAUUGAGACUUUACACUGAAACUGCAUAGAAAAAUGUAUCCAGGCUGUGUGUUUCUGCGUGCUGCAUGAGAAGCCUUCACAGACAGAAAGUUCGUAAUGCAAAAUUCAGCCCUCAAAGCAUUAAAAUAUACUGGCAUUAUGAAGAGAUUUUAAAAUUGUUUGUUUUGAACAGCUGUGGAAAUGGCUGUGGCUCAAUAAUCCAUUUUGUAAAGUAGCCCUUUCUACCCUAAAGCUGCCUGGAUGGAGCAGGGGUGAGAGAAGCCCUUGUGCACACCCAUUUGUAGUGGUUUCUUCUCAUCAUUAAAGACCAGGGCACUUGCAGGGGAAGGAACAGGCCACAGCUUUGUAGUGAGAAAUCAUGGAGAAGCCAGGGCCAUUCAUGCACGGUUCUGGUGGAAUUGCUGUCACCAAACUGCAGGUGUGCUGGUUUUAUUCCUUAAUAUUUGGGGGAAAGGUGUAGGCACUUUAGGGACAAGAAGCUAUGGGAGACACCUACGCUGCCAACAGCUGAAGUUGGGAGAGAUGAGUUCCACCCUUUGGGACUAAACCUUGUUUCCAGCCUCAAAGAAUGCUAAAGUAGCACUGAAGGACUUGUUGUUUCACGCCUGCCUGACGGGAGACUGGAGGCACAUAAGAAUAGAUUAAAUCAGCCCAGCUGCUGUUGUCUUUUUCAUAUAUUCCCCUUAGUGCAAGAGCAAGGUGCCGCAUGGAUCCUACAGUCCUUCUGCUGCUGCAACCUCCAGCACGCAGACUCCUACAGAGACUUCUGCUCACCCAGGUGUUUCAAAGUACAGACAUGCCCUUUUGCAGGGGAGAAAAGACCCAUCCGUGACUUUUGUAUCAGUUUUCGCUUUGAUUUGCUUCGUUCUGUGUGAUUUGUCAUAACACUUCAAAAAGAACUGUGCAAGUAACGGGUUUCCAGCAAUGAUAUGGAUAAAGCCGAGCAUUAACCUUAAAUGUUUUUUCUCCUUGUUAUGUUGCACUUAAUAGUGCAUAGUUAUACUCCCUGUGUGUUGAGAGAGCAGGAAGUUACAUAGUAAAUGUUAGCAGAAGCUGACAUUUAGGCUUUUAUUAUCACUUGAUAAACCCAUGUAAAUCCCAUUAACGCUGAGAGGUGUUGUAUGUGUAUAUCAGGGGGAAAAAAAGAGACCAUUUGCU